rnacentral:rRNA from 1 species
UAUUUGGUUUAAUGACUCUCGGCAACGGAUAUCUCGGCUCUUGCAUCGAUGAAGAACGUAGCGAAAUGCGAUACUUGGUGUGAAUUGCAGAAUCCCGUGAACCAUCGAGUCUUUGAACGCAAGUUGCGCCUGAAGCUAUUUGGCUGAAGGCAUGUCUUCCUGGGUGUCAUAC